UACAGAGGUGGCAAGCGUUGUUCGGAAUUACUGGGCGUAAAGGGCGCGUAGGCGGCCUUCUAAGUCAGACGUGAAAUCCCCCGGCUUAACCUGGGAACUGCGUCUGAUACUGGAGGGCUUGAGUGCGGGAGAGGGAUGUGGAAUUCCAGGUGUAGCGGUGAAAUGCGUAGAUAUCAGGAGGAACACCAAUUGCGAAGGCAGCUCGCUGGGACGUUACUGACGCUGAGACGCGAAAGCGUGGGGAGCAAACAGG
rnacentral:rRNA from 1 species